rnacentral:rRNA from 1 species
UACGUAGGUGGCGAGCGUUGUCCGGAUUUACUGGGCGUAAAGAGCGCGCAGGCGGCUGGUCAAGUCCGAUGUGAAAGCUCCCGGCUUAACUGGGAAAUUGCAUCGGAAACUGAUCGGCUGGAAGGUGGGAGAGGGUAGCGGAAUUCCCGGUGUAGUGGUGAAAUGCGUAGAGAUCCGGAGGAACCCCAGAGGCGAAGGCGGCAGCCUGGUUCGUACCUGACGCUCGGACACGACAGCAUGGGGAGCGAACGGG